AGAGAUUCCUGCACCAUGAUUAACAGAUCCAACCAGCCUCGUAGUUCACCUCAGCAAAAUGGGGGAGUGAGGAUUUUUGUCUUUUUUUCUGUCCAAAUGGUGCAACAAGAAUGUUCCUCAGGAAUCUCUGUCUUGAGUAAUAAACUCCCUUCUUUUGAAAUCCCAGGCCUUGUGCCCAGAGUAGACAGAUUCCCUAAUAAAGAUGGAAGCGUCAACUCUGAAGCAAGGAUACUUGGUAAAAUGAUUUUAAAACUGACAAGAAAAAGCAGCUCGAAGUGGCCCAGCAAGUUCAGAGAAAGUCCGCGCUGGCAGGACGCACGGAGGCGGUGUGAUGAGCUGUGCGCUGCUGACACCACGCUGAGUGAACAGAGGAAGGCUCUUGGCAUUAAAUUCAAAUUACAUCUUGAAUGCGAUUUACUCAGCGCGCAUCUCAUGGUGGGAAUAUCUCAUUAUCCCAGCUCAUAUUUCUAAUGUAGAUGAAUGACCCAUGCUGAAUGGCAAGUUCAGAAAGACCCGAUCCUGUAGAUUCUCUCACCCCAAAAUACCCUGUGUCAAAGUUAUUUUUGAUUUUAAUGUAUUUCUCAUUGCUGGGCAGUUUUGGGAAAGGACUUGAAAAAUAUUAAUGUGUCUGUACAUUUCCCAAAGUAAUAAAAUUGAUAAAGAGACUCUGUUCA
ensembl:lncRNA